UGCAGCCGCCGCGGUACUACCGGCAGCCCGAGUGAUGGCCGAUCUUAUUGGGCCUAAAGCGUCCGUAGCUGGCUGCGCAAGUCCGUCGGGAAAUCCACUCGCUCAACGAGUGGGCGUCCGACGGAAACUGCACAGCUUGGGACCGGAAGGCUCGAAGGGUACGUUCGGGGUAGGAGUGAAAUCCCAUAAUCCCGCACGGACCACCGAUGGCGAAAGCACUUCGAGAAAACGGAUCCGACAGUGAGGGACGAAAGCCAGGGUCUCCAACCGGAUUAGAUACCCUGAGCC
rnacentral:rRNA from 1 species